UACGAAGGGGGCUAGCGUUGCUCGGAAUCACUGGGCGUAAAGGGUGCGUAGGCGGGUCUUUAAGUCAGGGGGGAAAUCCUGGAGCUCAACUCCAGAACUGCCUUUGAUACUCUCUGUCUUGAAUAUGGUGGAGGUAAGCGGAAUAUGUCGUGUAGCGGUGAAAUGCUUAGAGAUGACAUAGAACACCUAUUGCGAAGGCAGCUUACUACGCCUAUAUUGACGCUGAGGCACGAAAGCGUGGGGAUCAAACAGG
rnacentral:rRNA from 1 species